rnacentral:lncRNA from 1 species
CUUAUACCCAUCUUCCAUUUGAAGUCAUCGAACUCUUUGAUCCUGAGAGCUUUAGUAAAAGAAUCGAUUAGGUUUUUCUUUCCAUCAAUCUUUUGAAGCUCAACAUCAUCUCGGUUCACGAUCUCUCGUACCAGAUGAUAGCGGUGCAGAAUAUGCUUGGUGUGCUAGUGUGACGUUGGUUCUUUCGUCUGAGCUUGGCACCAAAACUGUCACAAUACAGCAGGACAGGGCC